rnacentral:rRNA from 1 species
UGGGGAAUAUUGGGCAAUGGGCGAAAGCCUGACCCAGCAACGCCGCGUGAGGGAAGAAGGUUUUCGGAUUGUAAACCUCUGUCCUAAGGGACGAAGGAAAUGACGGUACCUUAGGAGGAAGCCCCGGCUAACUACGUGCC